GUUCCGGUGGCCUAGUGGUUAGAGCGUCCGCCUCGGAUGCGAUAGAUCUCAGGUUCGAAUCACGACCGAGUCA